rnacentral:rRNA from 1 species
CAAUUGGAGGGCAAGUCUGGUGGCCAUUCAGCUCCCAUUCUGCUGACGCCAGAGAUAGUCGGGCAGCUUCGUCAGAAGCUGUUACGCCGGCUAGUCGAGUACCUACUAAUUGAUGGGAGGGUACCGGCAAGACAACCUGGAUCGGGGAAGGCUAAGGCACCCAGUGCUAUGCUAAUCCCGAGCAGAGCUGCCACGGAGCGAUUCGUGGAUAGCCUGUGUAGAGCGCGGUAAGGUGUCGGCCAGCUCACGUAGUUGGCUUAAGGGACGUGCCAUUCCCACUCGAAAGAGUGGCUGCCAGCAGAAGCGCCCAUCACGCGAGCGCUGGCAGGUUCAAACAUGCUUGCAAAGCAAGCCGUUGAAAGUUAUAUUAAAAGGCCAGCAGCCGCGGUAAUUCCAGCUCCAAUAGCGUAUAUUAAAGUUGUUGCAGUUAAAAAGCUCGUAGUUGAAUCUUUGGCCUGGCUGGCGGGUCCGCCUCACCGCGUGCACUUGUCCGGCCGGGCCUUCUCUUCUGGAGAACCGCAUGCCCUUCACUGGGCGUGUUGGGGACCAGGACUUUUACUUUGAAAAAAUUAGAGUGUUCAAAGCAGGCCUUUGCUCGAAUACGUUAGCAUGGAAUAAUAGAAUAGGACGUGCGGUCCUAUUUUGUUGGUUUCUAGGACCGCCGUAAUGAUUAAUAGGGACAGUCGGGGGCAUCAGUAUUCAAUUGUCAGAGGUGAAAUUCUUGGAUUUAUUGAAGACUAACUACUGCGAAAGCAUUUGCCAAGGAUGUUUUCAUUAAUCAGUGAACGAAAGUUAGGGGAUCGAAGACGAUCAGAUACCGUCGUAGUCUUAACCAUAAACUAUGCCGACUAGGGAUCGGGCGGUGUUAUCGAUUUGACCCGCUCGGCACCUUGCGAGAAAUCAAAG